GAUGAAGAACGCAGCGAAAUGCGAUACGUAAUGUGAAUUGCAGAAUUCAGUGAAUCAUCGAAUCUUUGAACGCACAUUGCGCCCGCCAGCACUCUGGCGGGCAUGUCUGUUCGAGCGUCAUUUCAACCAUCAAGCCCCAGGCUUGCGUUGGAGCCCUGCGGCUGCCGCAGCCUCCUAAAAGCAGUGGCGGGCUCGCUAUCACACCGAGUGCAGUAGAUUACUCUUCGCUCAGGGCGUGCAGCGGGUUCCGGCCGUGAAACCCCCUACUUUUAAAGGUUGACCUCGGAUCAGGUAGGAAUACCCGCUGAACUUAAGCAUAUCAAUAAGCGGAGGA
rnacentral:misc_RNA from 1 species